CUAAUACAUGCAAGUCGAACGCGUCUCCGUUAAUGAUUUUAGGUGCUUGCACUUGAAAGAUUUAACAUUGAGACGAGUGGCGAACUGGUGAGUAACACGUGGGUAACCUGCCCUUGAAGUAGGGGAUAACACUUGGAAACAGGUGCUAAUACCGUAUAACAACCAAAACCACCUGGUUUUGGUUUAAAAGACGGCUUCGGCUGUCACUUUAGGAUGGACCCGCGGCGUAUUAGCUUGUUGGUAAGGUAACGGCUUACCAAGGCGAUGAUACGUAGCCGACCUGAGAGGGUAAUCGGCCACAUUGGGACUGAGACACGGCCCAAACUCCUACGGGAGGCAGCAGUAGGGAAUCUUCCACAAUGGACGAAAGUCUGAUGGAGCAACGCCGCGUGAGUGAUGAAGGGUUUCGGCUCGUAAAACUCUGUUGUUGGAGAAGAACAGGUGUCAGAGUAACUGUUGACAUCUUGACGGUAUCCAACCAGAAAGCCACGGCUAACUACGUGCCAGCAGCCGCGGUAAUACGUAGGUGGCAAGCGUUGUCCGGAUUUAUUGGGCGUAAAGCGAGCGCAGGCGGUUUUUUAGGUCUGAUGUGAAAGCCUUCGGCUUAACCGGAGAAGUGCAUCGGAAACCGGGAGACUUGAGUGCAGAAGAGGACAGUGGAACUCCAUGUGUAGCGGUGAAAUGCGUAGAUAUAUGGAAGAACACCAGUGGCGAAGGCGGCUGUCUGGUCUGUAACUGACGCUGAG
rnacentral:rRNA from 1 species